CAGUAGCCGCGGUAAUACGAAGGGUGCAAGCGUUACUCGGAAUUACUGGGCGUAAAGCGUGCGUAGGUGGUGGUUUAAGUCCGUUGUGAUAGCCCUGGGCUCAACCUGGGAAUUGCAGUGGAUACUGGGUCACUAGAGUGUGGUAGAGGAUAGUGGAAUUUCCGGUGUAGCAGUGAAAUGCGUAGAGAUCGGAAGGAACAUCUGUGGCGAAGGCGACUAUCUGGGCCAACACUGACACUGAGGCACGAAAGCGUGGGGAGCAAACAGGAUUAGAUACCCCGGUAGUCCCUGUCUCUUAUAC
rnacentral:rRNA from 1 species